rnacentral:rRNA from 1 species
GACGGAGGAUGCAAGUGUUAUCCGGAAUCACUGGGCGUAAAGCGUCUGUAGGUGGUUCGAAAAGUCCACUGUUAAAAAUUGAGGCUUAACUUCAAAGAUGCCGUGGAAACUUUCAAACUAGAGUAUGGUAGGGGUAGAGGGAAUUCCCAGUGGAGCGGUGAAAUGCGUAGAUAUUGGAAAGACCACCGAUGGCGAAGGCACUCUACUGGGCCAUUACUGACACUGAGAGACGAAAGCUAGGGGAGCAAAUGGG